rnacentral:rRNA from 1 species
CACAAGCAGCGGAGCAUGUGGCUUAAUUCGACGCAACGCGAAGAACCUUACCAAGGCUUGACAUACACCGGAAAACCGUGGAGACACGGUCCCCCUUGUGGUCGGUGUACAGGUGGUGCAUGGCUGUCGUCAGCUCGUGUCGUGAGAUGUUGGGUUAAGUCCCGCAACGAGCGCAACCCUUGUUCUGUGUUGCCAGCAUGCCUUUCGGGGUGAUGGGGACUCACAGGAGACUGCCGGGGUCAACUCGGAGGAAGGUGGGGACGACGUCAAGUCAUCAUGCCCCUUAUGUCUUGGGCUGCACACGUGCUACAAUGGCCGGUACAAUGAGCUGCGAUACCGCGAGGUGGAGCGAAUCUCAAAAAGCCGGUCUCAGUUCGGA